AGAGCGAACGCUGGCGGCAGGCUUAACACAUGCAAGUCGAGCGGGCGUAGCAAUACGUCAGCGGCAGACGGGUGAGUAACGCGUGGGAACGUACCUUUUGGUUCGGAACAACACAGGGGAAACUUGUGCUAAUACCGGAUAAGCCCUUACGGGGAAGAUUUAUCGCCGAAAGAUCGGCCCGCGUCUGAUUAGCUAGUUGGUGAGGUAAUGGCUCACCAAGGCGACGAUCAGUAGCUGGUCUGAGAGGAUGAUCAGCCACAUUGGGACUGAGACACGGCCCAAACUCCUACGGGAGGCAGCAGUGGGGAAUAUUGGACAAUGGGCGCAAGCCUGAUCCAGCCAUGCCGCGUGAGUGAUGAAGGCCUUAGGUUGUAAAGCUCUUUCGCUAGGGACGAUAAUGACGGUACCUAGACAAGAAGCCCCGGCUAACUUCGUGCCAGCAGCCGC
rnacentral:rRNA from 1 species